rnacentral:misc_RNA from 1 species
CGCGCCGCGAGCGCGCCGGGGUGCGAACCUGGGGCGCACGGACGCAGAGCCUGGGGGUCGCAACCCGCGCGCCGCGGCGCG